rnacentral:rRNA from 1 species
GUUGAACGCUGGCGGCGUGCUUAACACAUGCAAGUUGCACGCAGUGGUGGUACGCCGCGUAACGCGUGAGGAACCUGCCUUUCACAGGGGAAUAAUCCUGUGAAACCAGUGCUAAUACCGCAUAGUGAAAGAUGGCCUCGCGCCUGUGUAGCUAGUAGGUGAGGUAACGGCUCACCUAGGUGAUGAACAGUAGCUGGACUGAAGGUUGAUCGGCCGCAUUGGGACUGUGACACUGCCUAGAGUACUACGGGAGGCAGCAGGGGGGAAUAUACGGCAAUGUCGCAGGCCUGACCAAGCGUGGCUGCGUGAAGGAGAGCGGUAUUCGGGUUGAAGUCUUCGAUCGACAGGGACUCGGUACCUAGAGAAUAAGCCGCGGCUAACUACGGGCCAGCCGCCGCGGUAAUAC